AAGACACUAGUAAAGCCAUUACCUUGCCUUGUCGAGGCAAAAUCGUGGGUUAGAAUCCCGCGUGUCUUA
rnacentral:tRNA from 1 species